rnacentral:rRNA from 1 species
AGAGUUUGAUCCUGGCUCAGGAUAAACGCUGGCGGCGUGCCUAAUACAUGCAAGUCGUGCGGCAGCAUGCCCUUCGGGGUGAUGGCGAGCGGCGGACGGCUUAGUAACGCGUAGGAAUCUACCCCAAAGUGAGGGAUAAGCCCAAGAAAUUGGGUCUAAUACCGCAUGUGAUCUUCGGAUUAAAGCUAUAUGCGCUUUGGGAAGAGCCUGCGUACGAUUAGAUUGUUGGUGAGGUAAUGGCUCACCAAGUCAACGAUCGUUAGCUGGUCUGAGAGGAUGAUCAGCAAGACUGGAACUGAGACACGGUCCAGACUCCUACGGGAGGCAGCAGUAAGGAAUCUUCCACAAUGGGCGAAAGCCUGAUGGAGCAACGCCGCGUGCAGGAUGAAGGCCUUCGGGUCGUAAACUGCUUUUGUUAGCGAGGAAUAUGACGGUAACUAACGAAUAAGGGUCGGCUAACUACGUGCCAGCAGCCGCGGUAAUAC